CUCAUUACUCCCUAAACAAUUCAGCAUGAUGA
rnacentral:piRNA from 1 species